UUUUUAAUUGGGAUCUUGUAUGAAUGAUUGGACAAGAGAAAUACUGUCUUUGUAUUAAAACUUGAAUUUAACUUUUAAGUGAAAAGGCUUAAAUAUGCUAAAGGGACGAUAAGACCCUAUAAAACUUUACAUUUAUGUUAAAUUUUAUGGAAUUUGAAGAUUAUAAUUAUUAAAUUUAAUUUUUUGUUAUGUUGGGGAGACAAAAGCUAUAAUUAUAUGUAACUGCUUUUAAGGGAAACAAAAAUAAGUGAUAAAGAUUAGAGAUCCUUUAUUGAGAUUAUAAGAUUAAGUUACUUUAGGGAUAACAGCGUUAUUUUUUUUGAGAGUUCAUAUUGAAAAAAAAGAUUGCGACCUCGAUGUUGAAUUAAAAUAUCUUUAUAAUGCAGGUGUUAUAAAAGAAGGUCUGUUCGACCUUUAAUUUU
rnacentral:rRNA from 1 species